CCUUUCUAGUGGAUUUGGGGUGGAGAAGGAUUAGAUUGAUACAGGCCUUACUUAAAUAGACGUUGUAAUCUAUGAUCUUAUAAGAAAUCCAGCCUAGUUCUGUUGGAUUUUCCAAACAUGUCCUAAAGAAAAAAAGAAAUUUGGACCAAAAAUAAGACCCUUCGGAUGGUAUAACCCCUUCCUCCUUGGACGAGAGGCAGGGGUUCGGUUCCAUAGAUCAUCGUCCGCCGCUUUAACCCUUGUAAACACUGCAAGGUCUAGAGUUAUGGGUGGGGUUAGGGCCCUCCAAAAAGAAGAAGCAAAUAAGAUGCCAGGAAUUCAGUUGAUGUUGAAUUCUCAAGCAAUCAUGGUUCAAACAUCCAUCUCCAGGCCCUCCCAGCACUAAAGUAUUAGUCCUCAGUGGGCUUCUUUAAUAGACCUUUGGCCUGCUUACAUAACAUUUACAGCUUCUCAAUUUCAUAUAUCAUGUUAUUUUUAUCCCAUUGAUUGGUUUCGGUUUGCAAAAAUUCAAGAAGAAAAAUGAACUAAACUGAAGAACAUGUAUGGCUAAGCAUUUCUGUUUUUGAAAUUUGUUUAUAGCAUCUCAAUUAGAGGUUUUGGCAGCAAAGAUAUAUAUAGCUUUCAUAAAAGA
rnacentral:lncRNA from 1 species